GCUUUUCAAUUUAUUUGUUGAUAGAAGUUUAUUUUUUGCAAAGUAAUUUGCUUCUUCAUUGCUACCAAGUCAACUACAUUCAAGCAAAAAUGGAAACCUGUGUGUUCCUCUUCCAGAAGUUUUGCCUUGUCAUAUCCCUGUAUGUCCACACUUCUACACCGUUUUUGCUGAAAAGAUGAUCGUGAAAUCCAUGUAUGGUAGAUGUUGCACCAAAGAUACGGAAUGCUUCCUGUCUCCAUCAGGGUGAUUCACAGGAAGGCAGUUCAUGGGUAAAGGAAACCAGAAUCAGCUGGUAGUGUUCAGCUUGCUCCAAAGCCUGUUGGAUUGCCCUUAAUGACUACAUUAAGCUGAUCAGAAGCAGAGGGAAGCUGGUAGCUAUGCAAGAUACCGGACUUGCUUUCUGAUCCCAGCUCAGUCAGAGUGCUAUUUUCCUAUAUCUCUGUGAGCAGUGAAUUCUCACUUGGACUCAUCCAGGAGACAGAAAUGUUUCUGUGUAUGGAAAUGGAAACAUGGUCACUACUCAGCUAAAAAAAUGUAUCUGCCACUGGUGGAACCUGGAAGAACAACAAACUCACAUUUCUAUGGACUCCUAGCAAAACAUAACCUGUUUUUUUUCC
rnacentral:lncRNA from 1 species